AUAGAAGACAGUCUUGUCCAGCUGUGGUCCACCCCAGACUUCACAUCUGAGGGUCACAGGCUCCCCCUUCAGAGCAGGAACGGCCGGAGGAACCAACAUCACCAUGAGCUCUGAGAAACAGAGAACACACACAGGUGAUCUGAAAUACAACAGGAAGUGGAGUAAUGAGUCACCUGUCUUUUUCAGCGUCACUGCAUUGCUUCGAAGAAAUGCUUGCUUUUUCUUGCACCAGAAAGUGGCUCUUUCUGCCUCCUUAAAUUCUGCAAA